rnacentral:rRNA from 1 species
CUACGGGGGGCACCAGUGAGGAAUAUUGCACAAUGGGGGGAACCCUGAUGCAGCAACGCCGCGUGGAGGAUGACGCAUUUCGGUGUGUAAACUCCUUUUAUAUGUCAAGAAAAUGACGGUAGCAUAUGAAUAAGCACCGGCUAACUCCGUGCCAGCAGCCGCGGUAAUACGGAGGGUGCAAGCGUUACUCGGAAUCACUGGGCGUAAAGGACGCGUAGGCGGGUUGGAAAGUCAGGUGUGAAAUCCUACAGCUUAACUGUAGAACUGCACUUGAAACUUCUAAUCUAGAGUAUGGGAGGGGGGGAUGGAAUUAGUGGUGUAGGGGUAAGAUCCGUAGAUAUCACUAGGAAUACCUAAAGCGAAGGCGAUCUCCUGGAACAUUACUGACGCUAAGGCGUGAAAGCGUGGGGAGCAAACAGGAUUAGAUACCCUAGUAGUC